GAAGAAAAUUUUGUUUGAAAGAGAUUGGAAUUUGAAAUUUUAAAGAAGACAGACGUUUUUUUUCUCUUUGAAAACACAAAAAGAUAUACACGAUUGGCUAUUUAAUCUGCGUUCUGGUUCCGUGAGUCGAAAGGAUUAAAUUUACUUUUGGUUAUUAAGGACAACUGGUCCGCCAACAUUGAAAUUCUAAGGAGUCUAUCGCAUUCCGAAGUGACCUGAACCGUGAAAAAAUAAGUUUUUUUUUUAAAUUUGCUUAUUGCUGUCAUGUUCAAAACGAUGGUACAUCAAACCCUUUAUUCCUCAUUUUAAUGUGUGGUCACAGGAAUCCAUUUCUGGUUCAUUUGUGAAAUUGAAGCGAUAACGCCCGAGGCAUUGGUCAAGUUCCCACAUUACACCAAAUGGUCAACGUCAAAUAAUUCAAUAAACAUACUCUAAUAAGGACAGCGGCAAGGUUUAAAUAAUUGUGGAUUUGCCAAAAAAAAAAAAGAAGAAUCUAUUUCUAAGCACACAAAUCAUUCAUAUUUAAUUUAAAUUUAAUCCUGGUAGAGUGAAAAUUUUGCAGUUUUUGUUUGGAUCAAGAUGCGACAACAGGCCUGCGGUCAACUUCAAGGAUCUAAAGGUACAGAGAAUAUUUGAAAGUUAUGAUAAAGCGAGCCCUUAUGGGAGCCGGACGUUGCUUUGAUGAAAAAUUGUGCAAGUGUAUUGUGGUCUGCAUCGUUGUCGGGAGUUUCACUGAGGAUGGAUAUCGGUGAUAAAUACGAUUCAGACCGGCGUGAAUUUUUCCUAGCAUUGAAAAUGUCAACCAAAUUGAAUUUUCAUGGUUAUUUAGUCCCUGACUGAAAGUCUUCAGCUGUUGCAUGACAAAUUUGCAAAGAGGAUUGUGCGCUCAUAGAGCUCAAGCUCCGUGGCAACUAUAGACGAGAUGGAAAACCAGAUGGGGAAUCCUUACAACAGCACCGACCUGGUGGCUACUUUAUACAAAACCAAUUUUGUUGUUGUUGUUGUUGUAGCAGUGUGCUGUACACUGAGGUGGCAGCCCUUUCCGAUGAAGGACUUCAUCGGGUCAAUCCGGUACCUACAACCGGCUGCCAUGGGAUUGGAAACCAAUUUUGUAAUUUGGAGUCGGAGCCUAACUCGUUAACUAUACUCACUUUGUUUAAAGCACAACAACAAUAGCGUACAUUCGAGAGCCCACGAUCAAAGAGGAUGAAAAGGGAGAAGAGAUGGCAUUACAGCGAAAUUCGGGGUGACCGGUGAUAAAAGUUAAAGACACAACAUUUUUGAAUUGCUUACGAUAUUUCGUUUUCCUUUUAUUCCAACUUUCGGUUGGAAAGAAACAAAGCAAAAUACGAAGAAAUGUUCAAACAAUUAAUAUACAUCGAAAAGGUUGUUUCUUUAACCACGCAGAUCAGACAGCAUAUAAACAAUCAAACAAACCUUAACAUUUUAUAUUAAAAUGGGAAUGCUAGUAUGUGCAAUGAUCGAAACAUAGCAUGCCAGUUCUAUGAGUAAGCAGCCAGUGCCAUUUGGCAACGAAUAUGUUGGAACGGGCAUGAUACAUGUGACUUUGAAAAUGGUACAAAAUACGAGUCGAAAUGGUACUUUUUACUGCCAAAAAGUACCACUGCUACAACAACAACGAAUCCCAUGGCAGCCGGUUUUUGUACGUACCAGAUUGACCCGAUGAAGUCCUUCAUCGACACGGGCUGCCGCUUCAGUGUACAACACUAUGCUACAACAACAACAACAACAAUUUUUGCUGGAGGAUGCCAUUGUUGAAGAUAACACUGUCUUUACAGGUUUCGUGGUUUUGCAUUCUCACAUUUCUACUCUCCAUAUUUUUUAAAAAACGAUGUGUUCCCGCUGUAUCAUUAUUGCCGUCCUGUUUUGAACCUGAUGCAGAAGCAGUAG